GACGAACGCUGGCGGCGUGCCUAAUACAUGCAAGUAGAACGCUGAAACUUGGUGCUUGCACCGAGCGGAUGAGUUGCGAACGGGUGAGUAACGCGUAGGUAACCUGCCUGGUAGCGGGGGAUAACUAUUGGAAACGAUAGCUAAUACCGCAUAAGAGUAGAUGUUGCAUGACAUUUGCUUAAAAGGUGCAAUUGCACCACGACCAGAUGGACCUGCGUUGUAUUAGCUAGUUGGUGGGGUAACGGCUCACCAAGGCGACGAUACAUAGUAGAACGGAGAGGGUGAGCAGCCACCCUGAGAGUGGGACACGGCACAGUCUCAUACGGGAGGCAGCAGUAGUGAUACUUCGGCCAGGGACGGAAGUCUGACCACGAUACGCGGAGUGCGUGUGCAACGUCUUCGGAUCGUAAAUCUCUGUUGUCGGAGUAGAACGAGUGUGAGAGUGUAAAGUUCACACUGUGACGGUAACUUAUCAGAAAGGGACGGCUAACUACGUG
rnacentral:rRNA from 1 species